GAUUAACGCUAGCGGCAGGCCUAAUACAUGCAAGUCGAACGGGAUUUCGGAUAGCAAUAUCUGGAUGAGAGUGGCGCACGGGUGCGUAACACGUAUGCAACCUACCUCUGACUGGGGGAUAGCCUUCCGAAAGGAAGAUUAAUACCGCAUAACGAUCAGGAGAAGCAUUUCUUCAGGUCCAAAACUCAGGUGGUCAGAGAUGGGCAUGCGUCCGAUUAGCUAGUUGGUGAGGUAACGGCUCACCAAGGCUUCGAUCGGUAGGGGGUCUGGAGAGGAUGAUCCCCCACACUGGUACUGAGACACGGACCAGACUCCUACGGGAGGCAGCAGUAAGGAAU
rnacentral:rRNA from 1 species